CCUACGGGAGGCAGCAGUGGGGAAUAUUGGGCAAUGGGCGCAAGCCUGACCCAGCAACGCCGCGUGCAGGAAGGCGGCUUUCGGGUUGUACACUUCUUUUAUCAGGGACGAAGCAAGUGACUGUACCUGCUGAAUAAGCAACUGCUACCUACGUGACAGCAGCCUCGGUACUACUGAGGUGGCAGGCGUUAUCGGGAUUUACUGGGGUUAACGGGCGUGGAGACGGGAGUGCAAGACAGAUGUGAAAACUAUGGGCUCAACCCAUAGCCUGCAUUUGAAACUGUACUUCUUGAGUGCUGGGGAGGCAAGCGGAAUUCCGGGUGUAGCGGUGAAAUGCGUAGAUAUACGGAGGAACACCAGUGGCGAAGGCGGAUUGCUGGACAGUAACUGACGCUGAGGCGCGAAAGCGUGGGGAGCAAACAGGAUUAGAUACCCUAGUAGUC
rnacentral:rRNA from 1 species